GCAAAUCUCGAAAAGACCGUCCCAGUUCGGAUUGCAGGCUGCAACCCGCCCUGCAUGAAGUUGGAAUCGCUAGUAAUCGCGGAUCAGCAUGCCGCGGUGAAUACGUUCCCGGGCCUUGUACACACCGCCCGUCACACCAUGAGAGUCGGGAACACCCGAAGUCCGUAGUCUGACCGCAAGGGGGACGCGGCCGAAGGUGGGUUCGAUAAUUGGGGUGAAGUCGUAACAAGGUACC
rnacentral:rRNA from 1 species